UGAGACACGGCCCAGACUCCUACGGGAGGCAGCAGUAGGGAAUCUUCCGCAAUGGACGAAAGUCUGACGGAGCAACGCCGCGUGAGUGAUGAAGGUUUUCGGAUCGUAAAACUCUGUUGUCAGGGAAGAACAAGUGCCGUUUGAAUAAGGCGGCACCUUGACGGUACCUGACCAGAAAGCCCCGGCUAACUACGUGCCAGCAGCCGCGGUAAUACGUAGGGGGCAAGCGUUGUCCGGAAUUAUUGGGCGUAAAGCGCGCGCAGGCGGUCUUUUAAGUCUGAUGUGAAAGCCCACGGCUUAACCGUGGAGGGUCAUUGGAAACUGGAGGACUUGAGUGCAGAAGAGGAGAGUGGAAUUCCAUGUGUAGCGGUGAAAUGCGUAGAGAUAUGGAGGAACACCAGUGGCGAAGGCGACUCUCUGGUCUGCAACUGACGCUGAGGCGCGAAAGCGUGGGUAGCGAACAGGAUUAGAUACCCUGGUAGUCCACGCCGUAAACGAUGAGUGCUAGGUGUUAGGGG
rnacentral:rRNA from 1 species